rnacentral:rRNA from 1 species
AGAAGACAUCUGAAAGAGAUUAAAGAUUUAUCGGUGAUGGAUGGGGAUGCGUCUGAUUAGCUUGUUGGCGGGGUAACGGCCCACCAAGGCGACGAUCAGUAGGGGUUCUGAGAGGAAGGUCCCCCACAUUGGAACUGAGACACGGUCCAAACUCCUACGGGAGGCAGCAGUGAGGAAUAUUGGUCAAUGGGCGAGAGCCUGAACCAGCCAAGUAGCGUGCAGGAUGACGGCCCUAUGGGUUGUAAACUGCUUUUGUCAGGGACGAAAAGGGAUGCGAUAACACCGUAUUCCGCUGACGGUACCUGAAGAAUAAGCACCGGCUAACUACGUGCCAGCAGCCGCGGUAAUACGUAGGGUGCAAGCGUUAAUCGGAAUUACUGGGCGUAAAGCGUGCGCAGGCGGUUCUGUAAGAUAGAUGUGAAAUCCCCGGGCUCAACCUGGGAAUUGCAUAUAUGACUGCAGGACUUGAGUUUGUCAGAGGAGGGUGGAAUUCCACGUGUAGCAGUGAAAUGCGUAGAUAUGUGGAAGAACACCGAUGGCGAAGGCAGCCCUCUGGGACAUGACUGACGCUCAUGCACGAAAGCGUGGGGAGCAAACAGGAUUAGAUACCCUGGUAGUCCACGC